rnacentral:rRNA from 1 species
AUCAGCAUGCCGCGGUGAAUACGUUCCCGGGCCUUGUACACACCGCCCGUCACACCAUGAGAGCCGGGAACACCCGAAGUCGGUAGCCUAACCGUAAGGAGGGCGCCGCCGAAGGUGGGAUUGAUGACUGGGGUGAAGUCGUAACAAGGUAUC